UGGGGAAUAUUGCGCAAUGGGCGAAAGCCUGACGCAGCAACGCCGCGUGAGUGAUGAAGGCCUUCGGGUCGUAAAGCUCUGUCGGAGGGAACGAAUGCUCUUGAGGUUAACAGCCUCGGGAGGUGACGGUACCCUCAAAGGAAGCACCGGCUAACUCUGUGCCAGCAGCCGCGGUAAUACGUAGGGUGCAGGCGUUAAUCGGAAUUACUGGGCGUAAAGCGUGCGCAGGCGGUUUGUUAAGACAGGUGUGAAAUCCCCGGGCUUAACCUGGGAAUUGCGCUUGUAACUGGCAGGCUAGAGUGUGGCAGAGGGGGGUGGAAUUCCACGUGUAGCAGUGAAAUGCGUAGAUAUGUGGAGGAACACCGAUGGCGAAGGCAGCCCCCUGGGUUAACACUGACGCUCAUGCACGAAAGCGUGGGGAGCAAACAGGAUUAGAUACCCCCGUAGUCCCUGAGCGGGCUGGCAAGGCGCAU
rnacentral:rRNA from 1 species